UAGUAUCAGCGUGUCAGCCGCCGCGGUAAUACGAAGGGGGCUAGCGUUGCUCGGAAUUACUGGGCGUAAAGGGAGCGUAGGCGGAUAGUUUAGUCAGAGGUGAAAGCCCAGGGCUCAACCUUGGAAUUGCCUUUGAUACUGGCUAUCUUGAGUACGGAAGAGGUAUGUGGAACUCCGAGUGUAGAGGUGAAAUUCGUAGAUAUUCGGAAGAACACCAGUGGCGAAGGCGACAUACUGGUCCGUUACUGACGCUGAGGCUCGAAAGCGUGGGGAGCAAACAGGAUUAGAUACCCUGGUAGUCCACGCUGUAAACGAUGAGUGCUAGUUGUCGGCAGGCAUGCCUGUCGGUGACGCAGCUAACGCAUUAAGCACUCCGCCU
rnacentral:rRNA from 1 species